ensembl:lncRNA
ACAAAAAAAAAGACUUUUAUGGCAACGCUACCAUGUUGCACUGCCUUGCUUUUGGAAAACCACAUCAGUGUCUGACUUUCGGCUGUCACAGAUGCGCCUCCCUUCACCUCGACUGUCGUGCACAGUCGGUGUAACAGCGCCACAUGGUGCAAAACCCGGCAGCUGCAGGUUAAGGACAGUCGUCUUACGCUCUCGGGCACGGCUUGGCACUGAUGCGUCAGCGUCUAUGGAGCAUUCGCCUGGGCUUCCAGGAGUGACAGCUUGCCAUACCCCUGCUUUCUAGGAGCAGCAUCUAUCCGGAGAUACAACACCGCUUUUCCAUACACGGGUUCCUGUUUGUUCUGGUGUAUUUUGAAGACGCAGUGAAACCGCUACUGCCAAGCUGUUAGCAGAUGUGAAGAGCUGGGACUUGGAGCCGCAGUAGAAAACGCCUGAAGGUAGAAGAGCACCGAACAAGGAUUAUCUGGGUGGAAACCGCCGACCUGCGAGUUGGGGAUCUUCGUGUGUGAGGAUGUCAGUGUUUUCGCCUCGCUGACCGCAAUGUGCUUCUCUGGGUAGCCCCCGGGCAGCGUUCCUCCUCUCUGAAAUCGCCACCUCCUCUUCCCCUCCCCCUCCCCUAUCCUUCCUCCUCUCCCCCUAUCCCUCCCCCAUCUCAUUUAGUCCCACCAACCACCAGCUGCUCCAUGGAUCCCCUGUGUCCGAGUAAUGGUGUGAGCCGGACACAGGCCCGCACCUCCGGCCAACUGUAGCCCCCCACCCCAGCCCCCCUCGGUCCCAUUAUUUUUUUAUUUUUUUGUACUGGCUUAUUUUUUCUCACAAUCCCUGGAGUUUAUUCUUGUUUGGAACCAGGGAUGGAUGUACCAUUGGAGGCCAGCAAGCAUGGCAAGAAGACGACCAGUCAAAAGCUGGAAGACCAGAAGAAGGUGUUUCCUGAGUGUUUCCUUGACUUCGAGAGAGAGAAUGAAAGAGAGAGAGAGAACACACUGUCACCACAGUACAACACACUGACAGAGUACAUGAGGCUCCCCCUGUCCCGCCUCCAUCUUCUUUCUGAGCACACCCUCAUGCGCUCACUAACCUGACCUAUCAGAGGGCAGGAUGGAGCUACUGUACCUAGGAUGGGCUUGGGGAUGGUUUGGGACUGAUCUGACUGGCUGGCUCACUCGCCAUCUCAGUUUAAAUUGGAAUUAACCACCUGCACACACACACCUAACAUAUUCUACCUCAAACGUUCCUCACAUUUCAAACCAAUGAAUAAAUUAAAACAUUGCCUUGAUCCCAGUAGUAUGGAGAUACAGCGUUGUCUCUGUAUGUUGCUAUUAGGACCCAGUCCUCCCUACUUGAUCCCAGUAGUAUGGAGAUACAGCGUUGUCUCUGUAUGUUGCUAUUAGGACCCAGUCCUCCCUACUUGAUCCCAGUAGUAUGGAGAUACAGCGUUGUCUCUGUAUGUUGCUAUUAGGACCCAGUCCUCCCUACUUGAUCCCAGUAGUAUGGAGAUACAGCGUUGUCUCUGUAUGUUGCUAUUAGGACCCAGUCCUCCCUACUUGAUCCCAGUAGUAUGGAGAUACAGCGUUGUCUCUGUAUGUUGCUAUUAGGACCCAGUCCUCCCUACUUGAUCCCAGUAGUAUGGAGAUACAGCGUUGUCUCUGUAUGUUGCUAUUAGGACCCAGUCCUCCCUACUUGAUCCCAGUAGUAUGGAGAUACAGCGUUGUCUCUGUAUGUUGCUAUUAGGACCCAGUCCUCCCUACUUGAUCCCAGUAGUAUGGAGAUACAGCGUUGUCUCUGUAUGUUGCUAUUAGGACCCAGUCCUCCCUACUUGAUCCCAGUAGUAUGGAGAUACAGCGUUGUCUCUGUAUGUUGCUAUUAGGACCCAGUCCUCCCUACUUGAUCCCAGUAGUAUGGAGAUACAGCGUUGUCUCUGUAUGUUGCUAUUAGGACCCAGUCCUCCCUACUUGAUCCCAGUAGCAUGGAGAUACAGCGUUGUCUCUGUAUGUUGCUAUUAGGACGCAGUCCUCCCUACUUGAUCCCAGUAGUAUGGAGAUACAGCGUUGUCUCUGUAUGUUGCUAUUAGGACCCAGUCCUCCCUACUUGAUCCCAGUAGUAUGGAGAUACAGCGUUGUCUCUGUAUGUUGCUAUUAGGACCCAGUCCUCCCUACUUGAUCCCAGUAGUAUGGAGAUACAGCGUUGUCUCUGUAUGUUGCUAUUAGGACCCAGUCCUCCCUACUUGAUCCCAGUAGUAUGGAGAUACAGCGUUGUCUCUGUAUGUUGCUAUUAGGACCCAGUCCUCCCUACUUGAUCCCAGUAGUAUGGAGAUACAGCGUUGUCUCUGUAUGUUGCUAUUAGGACCCAGUCCUCCCUACUUGAUCCCAGUAGUAUGGAGAUACAGCGUUGUCUCUGUAUGUUGCUAUUAGGACCCAGUCAUCCCUACUUUGCCAUAACAUUAACAUGAUUUCCAUGUCAGUAACUGCCUGGUCCUGCAACUGCCAUGAAAUGAUUUGUUAAUGCGUCCUUGGUGAUCAUGCCUUCACCAGUGUAAUAUGUACACGCUGGGUUAUCUCCCAACCUACUGGAGCAGGUAGCCUAGCGAUUAAGAGCGUUGGGCCAGUAACUGAAAGGUCGCUUGUUUGAAGCCCCAAGAUGGAAAAAUCAGCCGUUCUGCCCUUGAUCAAGGCAGUUAUUCCCCAACAACAAGUGCUAAUUCACAGGGUUUGGGUUAAAUGUUGAAGACACAUUUUGGUUGAAUGCCUUCAGUUGUGCAACUGACUAGGAAUGCUCUUUCCCUUCCCAAUAAUAAAGAGGUGUAAUGCACUUUGAUCCCCUCAUCAAAUCAAACUUUAUUUGUCACAUGCGCGGAAUACAACAAGUGUAGACCUUACCGUGAAAUGCUUUCUGACAAGCCCUGAACCAACAGUGUAGACCUUACCGUGAAAUGCUUUCUUACAAGCCCUGAACCAACAGUGUAGACCUUACAGUGAAAUGCUUUCUUACAAGCCCUUAACCAACAGUGUAGACCUUACCGUGAAAUGCUUUCUUACAAGCCCUGAACCAACAGUGUAGACCUUACAGUGAAAUGCUUUCUUACAAGCCCUUAACCAACAGUGUAGACCUUACAGUGAAAUGCUUUCUUACAAGCCCUGAACCAACAGUGUAGACCUUACCGUGAAAUGCUUUCUUACAAGCCCUGAACCAACAGUGUAGACCUUACCGUGAAAUGCUUUCUGACAAGCCCUGAACCAACAGUGUAGACCUUACCGUGAAAUGCUUUCUUACAAGCCUUUAACCAACAGUGUAGACCUUACCGUGAAAUGCUUUCUUACAAGCCUUUAACCAACAGUGUAGACCUUACCGUGAAAUGCUUUCUGACAAGCCCUGAACCAACAGUGUAGACCUUACCGUGAAAUGCUUUCUUACAAGCCUUUAACCAACAGUGUAGACCUUACCGUGAAAUGCUUUCUGACAAGCCCUUAACCAACAGUGUAGACCUUACCGUGAAAUGCUUUCUUACAAGCCCUUAACCAACAGUGUAGACCUUACCGUGAAAUGCUUUCUGACAAGCCCUUAACCAACAGUGUAGACCUUACCGUGAAAUGCUUUCUGACAAGCCCUUAACCAACAGUGUAGACCUUACCGUGAAAUGCUUUCUUACAAGCCCUGAACCAACAGUGUAGACCUUACAGUGAAAUGCUUUCUUACAAGCCCUUAACCAACAGUGUAGACCUUACCGUGAAAUGCUUUCUUACAAGCCCUUAACCAACAGUGCAGUUCAAGAAGAGUUAAGAUAAUAUUUACCAAAUAAAAGCUGUUAAAGAGCCUUUUGGACCGAGACUUGGUGCUCCGGUACCAGCGGCAGCAGAUAAAACAGUCUAUGACUUGGGUGACUGGAGUCUCUGACACCGCCUAUAAUAUAGGUCCUGGAUGGCAGGAAGCUUGGCCCCAGUGAUGUACUGGGCCGUACACACUACCCUCUGUAGCGCCUUACGGCCAGGUGUUGAUACAACCCGUCAGGAUGCUCUCGAUGGUGCAGCUUUAGAACGUUUUGAGGAUCUGGGGACCCAUGCCAAAUAUUUUCAGUCUCCUGAGGGGGAAAAGGUGUUGUCGUGCUUACUUCACAACUGUCUUGGUGUGUUUGGAC